rnacentral:rRNA from 1 species
CCUUAGAGUUUGAUCCUGGCUCAGGACGAACGCUGGCGGCGCGCCUAACACAUGCAAGUCGAACGAGCGAGAGAGAGCUUGCUUUCUCGAGCGAGUGGCGAACGGGUGAGUAACGCGUGAGGAACCUGCCUCAAAGAGGGGGACAACAGUUGGAAACGACUGCUAAUACCGCAUAAGCCCACGGCUCGGCAUCGAGCAGAGGGAAAAGGAGCAAUCCGCUUUGAGAUGGCCUCGCGUCCGAUUAGCUAGUUGGUGAGGUAAUGGCCCACCAAGGCAACGAUCGGUAGCCGGACUGAGAGGUUGAACGGCCACAUUGGGACUGAGACACGGCCCAGACUCCUACGGGAGGCAGCAGUGGGGAAUAUUGCACAAUGGGGGAAACCCUGAUGCAGCGACGCCGCGUGGAGGAAGAAGGUCUUCGGAUUGUAAACUCCUGUUGUUGAGGAAGAUAAUGACGGUACUCAACAAGGAAGUGACGGCUAACUACGUGCCAGCAGCCGCGGUAAAACGUAGGUCACAAGCGUUGUCCGGAAUUACUGGGUGUAAAGGGAGCGCAGGCGGGAAGACAAGUUGGAAGUGAAAUCUAUGGGCUCAACCCAUAAACUGCUUUCAAAACUGUUUUUCUUGAGUAGUGCAGAGGUAGGCGGAAUUCCCGGUGUAGCGGUGGAAUGCGUAGAUAUCGGGAGGAACACCAGUGGCGAAGGCGGCCUACUGGGCACCAACUGACGCUGAGGCUCGAAAGCAUGGGUAGCAAACAGGAUUAGAUACCCUGGUAGUCCACACCGUAAACGAUGAUUACUAGGUGUGGGGGGACUGACCCCUUCCGUGCCGCAGUUAACACAAUAAGUAAUCCACCUGGGGAGUACGACCGCAAGGUUGAAACUCAAAGGAAUUGACGGGGGCCCGCACAAGCAGUGGAGUAUGUGGUUUAAUUCGAAGCAACGCGAAGAACCUUACCAGGUCUUGACAUCGUAUGCAUAGUCUAGAGAUAGAUGAAAUCCCUUCGGGGACAUAUAGACAGGUGGUGCAUGGUUGUCGUCAGCUCGUGUCGUGAGAUGUUGGGCUAAGUCCCGCAACGAGCGCAACCCUUAUUGCCAGUUACUACGUUAAGAGGACUCUGGCGAGACUGCCGUUGACAAAACGGAGGAAGGUGGGGAUGACGUCAAAUCAUCAUGCCCUUUAUGACCUGGGCUACACACGUACUACAAUGGCGUUAAACAAAGAGAAGCAAGACCGCGAGGUGGAGCAAAACUCAAAAACAACGUCUCAGUUCAGAUUGCAGGCUGCAACUCGCCUGCAUGAAGUCGGAAUUGCUAGUAAUCGUGGAUCAGCAUGCCACGGUGAAUACGUUCCCGGGCCUUGUACACACCGCCCGUCA